GAUGAAGAACGUAGCGAAAUGCGAUAAGUAAUGUGAAUUGCAGAAUUCAGUGAAUCAUCGAAUCUUUGAACGCACAUUGCGCCCGUCAGUAUUCUGGCGGGCAUGCCUGUUCGAGCGUCAUUACGCCCCUCAAGUCCCCUGUGGACUUGGUGUUGGGGAUCGGCGAGGCUGGUUUUCCAGCACAGCCGUCCCUAAAUUAAUUGGCGGUCUCGCCGUGGCCCUCCUCUGCGCAGUAGUAAAACACUCGCAACAGGAGCCCGGCGCCGUCCACUGCCGUAAAACCCCCCAACUUUUUAUAGUUGACCUCGAAUCAGGUAGGACUACCCGCUGAACUUAAGCAUAUCAAUAAGCGGAGGA
rnacentral:misc_RNA from 1 species